rnacentral:misc_RNA from 1 species
CACCUGGUGCUGUGAAAGACACAGAGGGUUUUUGUAGACAAGGUGGCAAACAUCUUCCACCAAACUUCAUUGAGAAUGUACCUUUACAGAGACUGGUUUCUCGCCAAGAUGUGGCAGAUAAAGUGUAUUCUUUCUGGCUAGCAGUGCUUCAGCUUUUAUCACUGCAAACACACUGGUGUUAGUCGGUGGUAGUUGGAUCACAAAUUAUGUUUCCAUGGCAA